rnacentral:rRNA from 1 species
AUUGAACGCUGGCGGCAGGCCUAACACAUGCAAGUCGAACGGUAACAGGAAGCAGCUUGCUGCUUCGCUGACGAGUGGCGGACGGGUGAGUAAUGUCUGGGAAACUGCCUGAUGGAGGGGGAUAACUACUGGAAACGGUAGCUAAUACCGCAUAACGUCGCAAGACCAAAGAGGGGGACCUUAGGGCCUCUUGCCAUCGGAUGUGCCCAGAUGGGAUUAGCUAGUAGGUGGGGUAACGGCUCACCUAGGCGACGAUCCCUAGCUGGUCUGAGAGGAUGACCAGCCACACUGGAACUGAGACACGGUCCAGACUCCUACGGGAGGCAGCAGUGGGGAAAUUUGCACAAUGGGCGCAAGCCUGAUGCAGCCAUGCCGCGUGUAUGAAGAAGGCCUUCGGGUUGUAAAGUACUUUCAGCGGGGAGGAAGGGAGUAAAGUUAAUACCUUUGCUCAUUGACGUUACCCGCAGAAGAAGCACCGGCUAACUCCGUG